rnacentral:rRNA from 1 species
CCAGCAGCCGCGGUAAUUCCAGCUCCAAUAGCGUAUAUUAAAGUUGUUGCGGUAAAAAAGCUCGUAGUUGGAUUUCUGUUGAGAGCGACCGGUCCAUACCAUGUAUGCGCAUCUGGCUUGCUCUCGGCAUCCUCUCGAUAGACGUUGCUGCGCUUGAUUGCGUGGCGCGGAUCUCGGGACUUUUACUUUGAGGAAAUUAGAGUGUUCACGGCAGGCUUUCGCCAGAAUACAUUAGCAUGGAAUAAUACUAUAGGAUCUUGGUUCUAUUUUGUUGGUUUCUAGAAUUGAGAUAAUGAUUAAUAGGGACAAUUGGGGGCAUUCGUAUCAACACGUCAGAGGUGGAAUUCUUGGAUUGUGUUGCGACGAACUACUGCGAAAGCAUUUGCCAAGGAUGUUUUCAUUGAUCAAGAACGAAAGUAAGGGGAUCGAAGACGAUUAGAUACCGUCGUAGUCUUUACCAUAAACUAUGCCGACUAGAGAUGGGGCAUCGUUCAUUUACGACUUGCUCCGCACCUUAUGAGAUAUCAAAGUUUUUGGGUUCCCGGGGGGAGUAUGGUCGCAAGACUGAAACUUAAAGGAAUUGACGGAAGGGCACCACCAGGAGUGGAGCCUGCGGCUUAAUUUGACUCAACACGGGGAAACUCACCAGGUCCAGACAUAAUAAGGAUUGACAGAUUGAUAGCCCUUUCUUGAUUUUAUGGGUGGUGGUGCAUGGCCGUUCUUAGUUCGUGGAGUGAUUUGUCUGCUUAAUUGCGUUAACGAACGAGACCUUAACCUGCUAAAUAGGAGCGCCUAUCUUCGGAUAAGCGUCUUUCUUCUUAGAGGGACUUUAUGCGUUUCAGCAUGAGGAAGUUUGAGGCUAAAACAGGUCUGU